UACAGAGACGUCGAGCGUUGUUCGGAUUCAUUGGGCGUAAAGGGUGUGUAGGUGGCGCGCUAAGUCGGGUGUGAAAUUUCGGAGCUUAACUCCGAAACUGCAUUCGAUACUGGCGUGCUUGAGGACUGGAGAGGAGACUGGAAUUCAUGGUGUAGCAGUGAAAUGCGUAGAGAUCAUGAGGAAGACCAGUGGCGAAGGCGGGUCUCUGGACAGUUCCUGACACUGAGACACGAAGGCCAGGGGAGCAAACGGG
rnacentral:rRNA from 1 species